UGGGCAGUAGCUCAGUGGUAGGGCUUCUGAUUCGUCUGUGGGAAGACCUGGGUUCGAUUCCCGGCUGCUUAC
rfam:Toxocara canis scaffold405, whole genome shotgun sequence.